GUAUGACCUUACAUCGCACGAAACGCCUUUGACAAGUUUUAUGAACAUAACACCUGCAGAAAGACGUUCUCAACCAAACAUUAAUGGCUUCCAAAGAUCAGUUCUCACCAAACUGGAAACAUUAAUUAAUAAGCAAGAAGAAACGUUGUCAAUAUUGCGUGCUCUGUUAAGCAAUAAGAAAGGUGUAGACAAGCACGAAAUUUUGGAAGAUGUUGUACCUAAUCCCUUAGAUUCGGUGUAUCCCUUUAUAAGUGAAAAUGCCACACGUUUUUAUAAAUUUCUCAGCCCAACUCACCUCCAAUUCUUCGUGUGUACCAAACCAUUUACACUCUUCAGAUGGACAAUGUAAUUGAAUCCUUUUUAACUCACGCUUCGUAAAAGCAUCCGGGAAAACCUAAAUGGAUCCAUGGAAAUUGAUCUUUUAUGAAACAAGAUUAAAUUGCACUAGACGUUAAAUGAAACAGUAACGUAAAUUUCUUACAAGAACUGUUGGCAAACUUUUUUGAAAUAGAAUUCACCGACGCACUAACGCUAAGUGCAAAGGCUCUCAAUAUGUAGACUCAACAACGAGCUCAACAUGUUCAACACCGUGUUUAGGAGAGUUGAGUAGUAGCUAUUAAGCGGUGUUGAGCGUUGUUGAGUGAAGUUUAAACUUGCUCAAAAUUUCCACUCAACAUCACUCAACAUUUGCUUUGUUCCAUGGUCACCAAACCGCACCUCAACUUUGUUUAUAGUGCAAUGAAACUUCUGGUUUUUAAAACAGCACACUCAACAUGUUGAGCGAAAGCAUGCACACUACCUGUGCAGCUUAUAUUGUUGUAAUUUACCUGGUCACUGAACAGUUAAUGUACCUGUAUAUACGCUAAUGCUAGGCAUGGUGGAGUAUUUUAUCUCAUGAUCCUACGCGAUAUCAUUUCAAGACUCAACAUGUUGAGAGCGCUUGCACACAUCGCUUAGCAUCACUCAUCAAACACAAAACAAUGUUUAGCGCAUGUUGAGUCAACAUAUUGAGAACGUUUGCACGUAGCUUUGAUAAUCCAAGUUACAAAAGGAUUUUCUAUGUCACAAGACUUGACAAUAUACGUAAAUCGAUGUAUAAUUUUUUAGAACUCAAAGAGUAAUUAUAACUAUAGUUGUUCAGCCAA